rnacentral:rRNA from 1 species
GAUGAACGCUAGCGGCAGGCUUAAUACAUGCAAGUCGAGGGGCAGCACGGGUAGCAAUAUCUGGUGGCGACCGGCGCACGGGUGCGUAACACGUAUGUAACCUACCUUAAACUGGGGAAUAGCCCCUUGAAAAAGGGAUUAAUACCCCAUAACACUGCGAGAAGGCAUCUUUUUGCAGUUAAAGUUCCGACGGUUUAAGAUGGACAUGCGCGACAUUAGCUAGUUGGUGAGGUAACGGCUCACCAAGGCUGUGAUGUCUAGGGGUUCUGAGAGGAAAAUCCCCCA